UACUAGAGUAGCACUCGCAUAUCAAUAAGCGGAGGAAAAGAAACUAACAAGGAUUCCCCUAGUAACGGCGAGUGAAGCGGGAAGAGCUCAAAUUUGAAAUCUUAAAAGGUUUUCCUUUUACGAAUUGUAGUUUAAAGAAGUGUUUUCUGUUGAAGUUUUGGUACAAGUUCUUUGGAAUAGGACAUCAUAGAGGGUGAGAAUCACGUAUUUGACCUUAAUUUUUCAACUUUGUGAUACACUUUCAAAGAGUCGGAUUGUUUGGGAAUGCAGUCCAAAAUGGGUGGUAAAUUUCAUCUAAGGCUAAAUAUUGGCGAGAGACCGAUAAGCGAACAAGUACCGUGAGGGAAAGAUGAAAAGAACUUUGAAAAGAGAGUUAAAUAGUACGUGAAAUUGUCAAAAGGGAAGCGUUUGGCACCAGUGUUGUUUUUCUAAAAAUCAAUUUAAAAUUUGCUUAUGUUAAGUGUUUUAGACUUAAUCGGCUAUACAUUUAAUUCUUUGUAAAUUUUGAAUGCACUUUUUAGUUAACAAGUCAACAUCAAUUUUUUUUGCUGUAAAAAAGUAAGAGGAAGGUGGCUUGGGAUUCGUUUCCAAGUGUUUAUAGCCUCUUGCCCAUGCAGUAGGAGAGAUUGAGGUCUGCAGCAUAGAUCCUUCGGGGCUAGAUGCUUUUGUGCUAGAAGCUAGUAUUAUAUAGACAACUUGUUGAUUAUGUAAUAUAUUAGUUUCUACUCGCUAAGUUAUUUUACCUACGCUUAGGAUGUUGAUAUGCAUGACUGAUAU
rnacentral:rRNA from 1 species